ACGAACGCUGGCGGCGUGCUUAACACAUGCAAGUCGAACGGAGCAAACUGAUAGUUUACUAGAGGAAUGCUUAGUGGCGGACGGGUGAGUAACACGUGGAUAAUCUGCCUGACACACUGGGAUAACACCGUGAAAAUGGUGCUAAUACCGGAUAUGCUAGCGAGGUCGCAUGGCUUAGCUAGGAAAGGGUUACUGGUGUCAGAUGAGUCCGCGGCUGAUUAGCUAGUUGGUGAGGUAACGGCCCACCAAGGCGACGAUCAGUAGCCGGCCUGAGAGGGUGAACGGCCACACUGGGACUGAGACACGGCCCAGACUCCUACGGGAGGCAGCAGUGGGGAAUCUUCCGCAAUGGGCGAAAGCCUGACGGAGCAACGCCGCGUGGGUGAAGAAGGCCUUCGGGUUGUAAAACCCUGUCUUCAGGGAAGAAAAAAAUGACGGUACCUGAGGAGGAAGCCACGGCUAACUACGU
rnacentral:rRNA from 1 species